rnacentral:rRNA from 1 species
GAUGAACGCUGGCGGCGUGCCUAAUACAUGCAAGUCGAGCGAACGGACGAGAAGCUUGCUUCUCUGAUGUUAGCGGCGGACGGGUGAGUAACACGUGGAUAACCUACCUAUAAGACUGGGAUAACUUCGGGAAACCGUAGCUAAUACCGGAUAAUAUUUUGAACCGCAUGGUUCAAAAGUGAAAGACGGUCUUGCUGUCACUUAUAUAUGGAUCCGCGCUGCAUUAGCUAGUUGGUAAGGUAACGGCUUACCAAGGCAACGAUGCAUAGCCGACCUGAGAGGGUGAUCGGCCACACUGGAACUGAGACACGGUCCAGACUCCUACGGGAGGCAGCAGUAGGGAAUCUUCCGCAAUGGGCGAAAGCCUGACGGAGCAACGCCGCGUGAGUGAUGAAGGUCUUCGGAUCGUAAAACUCUGUUAUUAGGGAAGAACAUAUGUGUAAGUAACUGUGCACAUCUUGACGGUACCUAAUCAGAAAGCCACGGCUAACUACGU